CAAAGGAGCCUUGGUAACAGCAAGAUGAUCAAUAUUUGGACCACCUGUGAUAUUUGCUUCAGUCCUUUGCUCAUCAUGAAAAAUAAUGGGAUGUAGCCAAGUUUCUGUUCCUGCAAUUAUGUCUGGUUUCUCACAUUCUAAUAAAAUUUCUAAGUCUGC